rnacentral:rRNA from 1 species
GACGAAGGGGGCUAGCGUUGUUCGGAAUUACUGGGCGUAAAGCGUGUGUAGGUGGUUGUCAUAGUCAGGCGUGAAAGCCUUGAGCUCAACUCAAGAAAUGCGCUUGAUACUGGGCAGCUAGAGGACCGGAGAGGAUAGUGGAAUUCCCAGUGUAGUGGUGAAAUACGUAGAGAUUGGGAAGAACACCAGUGGCGAAGGCGGCUAUCUGGACGGUUUCUGACACUAAGACACGAAAGCGUGGCGAGCAAACAGG